rnacentral:rRNA from 1 species
AGUGAACGCUGGCGGUAGGCCUAACACAUGCAAGUCGAACGGCAGCACAGUAAGAGCUUGCUCUUACGGGUGGCGAGUGGCGGACGGGUGAGGAAUACAUCGGAAUCUACUUUUUCGUGGGGGAUAACGUAGGGAAACUUACGCUAAUACCGCAUACGACCUACGGGUGAAAGCAGGGGAUCUUCGGACCUUGCGCGAUUGAAUGAGCCGAUGUCGGAUUAGCUAGUUGGCGGGGUAAAGGCCCACCGAGGCGACGAUCCGUAGCUGGUCUGAGAGGAUGAUCAGCCACACUGGAACUGAGUCACGGUCCAGACUCCUACGGGAGGCAGCAGUGGGGAAUAUUGGACAAUGGGCGCAAGCCUGAUCCAGCCAUACCGCGUGGGUGAAGAAGGCCUUCGGGUUGUAAAGCCCUUUUGUUGGGAAAGAAAAGCAGCAGGUUAAUACCCCGCUGUUCUGACGGUACCCAAAGAAUAAGCACCGGCUAACUUCGUG